rnacentral:lncRNA from 1 species
GACAAACAAUCUGAAAGAACGCUCUGAUGUUUAUAUGCAGUUAACGUUAUUUAUGGAAACAGCAGGUUGAAGAGUCUAUUUUACACAAACACCCUGUUGGCGUAUCUAAAGGCUUUUGCAUCGUUACAGAAAACUUUAUCGUUAACUUGCCUGGAUUCUCAGCUGACGACCAACGAACGCGUUCAAGAUGGCGGCGAGGUUUUCACGAGGACAGACGAAACACUGGAACGGAUUACUACAGGAUUCUCAUCAGAACGGCGUUACAUCUGGCACAGGAUGGCAACAUGACGUCAGAUUGAAGUUGUACGCUAAUGUCAUGGGAUGUUGCAUUUGGUUUGGAAAUGAAAGUCGAGUUUACAUCAGAACCCAACAUCAAACCAACGUCAAUGUCCAACAUCAGACAGACAAUGCAUUCUGGUUGCUUUCCAACACAACCUAAAAACAACAAAAUAUCAAUGUAUAUUAAUGUUACAGCUUAACGUUGUGUGGAUGUUACUAAAAUGUAUUUUAAUUGCCAUACUUAACAAAUAAAUGCCUGUAUUUGACAUCAA